rnacentral:tRNA from 2 species
GCCGUCAUAGCUCAGUUGGUAGAGCGUCCGCCUUGUAAGCGGAGGGCCCAAGGUUCGAGUCCUUGUGUCGGCACCA